ACAAUAUUAAGAAAGAGGGAAAAUAUCAGUGGAGACCCUUGGGCUAGAGGAAAAGUGAGCUCUUGCUGUAAGCCCAUAGCUGUGACUAACCUGUUCCUAAUUCCAGGCUCUCUUGCAGCUAGGGUGGUGUGUGUCUUUCUUUUGUUGUUAGUGAAUUUCCUUAGCUAUGCCUGAAUGCUACAGCUGAGCAUGGUAAAUUAUAAAGAAGUUAUUUCUCUCUCGGUCCUGGAAGCUCCGGAAUUCUUUGAGGACCUUGUACUAUGACGUAACAUGAGAGUCAGCAGUGUGUAACCUCAGGUCUCUGACUCUCCUAAAGCCACUAACACCAUCAUGGAGGCCCCAUCUUCAUGACUUCACCUCCCAAAGGCCCUACAGAGUCAUGUGGAUUAGAAGUGUAAGUGAGCGUGUUGUUUUCAUUUAAAAUACUAUGUGCACGUCAUGCUUAAGUGCAGGUGCCUGUGGAUUUCUUGGAACUGGCGUUAGAGGAGGUUGUAAGAUGCCAAAAGUGGGUGUUGAGAAUUGAAUUGGGGCUCUUCUGUAAGAGCAAUAGACACUCUUAACUGUUGAGCCAUCUCUCCAGUUCCGAAGUGUGUUUUUAAAAUCGUAAAUGCAGCAUGAAGUCCACAGGAAAAAGUUAAAAUGAAAGGAAAGACACCUCUUGUUCCCUUAGUUCCAUCUCUACAGAGUAGCCACAAAUAAUUGUUUGAAGAGGAGCACCCAGGCCUUCCUGUGUCCUCCAAGGUUGGUCCCCAGUGUGCAUGCUUGACAAGACCAUGAUUCUCUCAUCCUGAGAGCUCAUCUUCUUCCCUCCAAGCAUGGAUGGGCAGAUAACAAAAGGAAAACAAGGGGAGCUCAUUCACCCCACAAGAGUAACAACUUAAACGCGGAAGCAGGAAAGUUCAAGCAGGAAAGUAAAAGAUCUAAAACCCUCAGCAGCAGCAGGAUGUCAACCAAGAAGAUGCUGGUAUCUUAGCUCCAUUUUCCCAGGAUGCUUUGGGGGCACACCCGGAAGUCAGAAUGCAGAUCACAGACUAGACGGAGCAGCAGAUCUCCUGUCAGUUGGGUCUUGAAGGCCGGAGACAGCUGCAGGAACAGAUUCCCAUCUGCAGCCAAACUGAAGUCUGGGAGGCUGCGGCAGGAACAAGUUCACCUCCCUGAAGUUGCUCUUGAGCCUUAGAGGCUGGAGCAGUGGAAGCCUGAGUUCCCUCAUUUGCCUAGGACAGGUCACCUUGUGAUGCCAUGUGCUGCGGUAGGCUGUAGGGAGGGAGUAGUGUGCUGUUGGGACUUCGUCUCCAAUACUGUAAGGACUGGGCUACGGAAUCAAAGCGGCUGCUGUGACUCAGGCGUUUCCCAUUGCCCAAUUCUCGCAUCCUCUCCUCUCAGCGCCCGAGCUUUUCAUGUCCUAUUUGAAACUGAUAGGAAACCCUAGCAUUGUUUCACAACAUGGAUAUUAGCGCCGAUGAAGGAAGCGCUCCAUCAGAUAAUCGGCCUGCAGUGAGCUGGCUUCCAGCACCAGCUGCCCAGACCCAUUUCUCCGCUUCCCAGGACCCCAGACCCAGUAUGGCUCUGACCCAACAGUUAGGGGCUUGUGGCCAGGGGGGCCACAGCAGCCUGGCUCCUCCCACUUUCCACUCCACUCCGGUUGGAAGGAGAGAGGGGGUGGGCAGGGAGGCUUUUCUCCUUCCAGGUCUCUGAUAGGCAAGGGUCUCCAUCACCUUUAGACAUUUGAUGGCCUUGCUCCCUUCCCCAGCACUUUUCCAAGUGAUCCUCCAUAUCCUGGGGUUCCCUAAGCUUGGAGUCCCCUCUCUCCUUGCAGUUCCCAUUGAUGUGGGUUCCCAGCCUGUUCUUGUGUAAGAUUUCACCUGAACAAAGGGUUCUGCUGCUAAACACCUUUGGAACCGCUCAGAGCCAGGCAAGAGCACUUGCACACUCUCUAGGACUGACGCUUUAUUUUCUAGUUAGGUAUUGGCAGUGCUUUGGUAGAAAUGUAACUCUAUCCCUGGACAUGGCCUGAGCAAGCAGGCACUGCAUAAACACCCUCAGGCGGAGCAGAUGGUUGUCAGCCUCUUCCUGAGUUACAGAUGAGGACCUGGGUGUCAGAGAGGGUAUACAAUUUUCUCAGGCUCACACAGCAGUUUCUAAAGACAGGCUGCAGUCUGUGGCUAAGUUUUCCAAAGAUGUCAAUCAUAUGGGACUGGCUCUAGGACUGGGAAUGGGGGGUGGUAGAAGGAAAAACAGCAGAGGGGCUUCCUAUGGUGCCACUCUGAAUUCUGGUAGCAAGCGAUUUCUGCUCAACAGUUUCUGUUCCAGUUUUUCUUUCUUUU
rnacentral:sRNA from 1 species